rnacentral:misc_RNA from 1 species
UCUCGAUUCACAAAAUGAAGAUUUAGAUUCUGGAUUUGACAACUAUGUUUUAGAUUCCCUAUUUUAUUUAGGAUUUAAUUUUUCCUAUUUUAUCUAGAUUUUCUAUUGCGUUUUAAUUAUCUAAACUUUGAUUUAUUUUCCUACUAGGUUUAGGAGAUUAAAACUCUAUAAAUAGCUGCAUAUAUUCUAUGUAUUUUCAGUUUUGAGUUUUGAUUAAUAGAAUUCUGCAGAAUUAUUCUCUCAAACACAUUAUGUUGUGGGAGUGUGUAUUCAAGCUUCACGCUACCUCAAGUUUGCUCCAUUAUAAUAGAUGUACUUUUUAUUUGGAACGAAAUUCCUGCAGUAGUGACAGAGAAAUAGUAGUUCCUAUUUCAAGAAAAACAAGAUAUGACUCUUUAGGAAAUAAACCAGUUUACACUCCACAACUAAACACAUUGUUCCUUGCAGAAGCAAUAAAAAUUUUUUGACCCUUGAGCUCCAUGCAUGCUCCCAUUAUCAGUUAAAAAAGCUACAUAAAAUAAGUCUUGACCUCAAUUGCGUGCUACUUUUACUAAAAC